rnacentral:rRNA from 1 species
GAAUACUCCAGGUUUACCGUGACCAGUUCCCGUUGAUCCCUUUAAGUUAGAAUAAAUUACACUUGCGCUGAAAUUGUGUAGAAACGGUUAAAUGUUUGAAAUCCCACCAGAAAUUCGAUUCGGAAGGCAGGUCACAAAGUUUAAAAUUAAGGUCAGCGCAGAAAAGGUGGGAGUCGAACAGGAGUUAGAUACCCCGGUAGUCCCCCCGUUAAACGAGGGAUAUUUGCUGUUGGGCGCAAUACACUCGGUGGGCAAGCGAAAACGAUAAAGUUAUCUCCCUGUGGAGUACGACCGCACGGUUGAAACUCAAAGGAAUUGACGGGGGCCCGCACAAGCGGAGAGACAUGUGGUUUAAUAUGAUGAUACGCGAGGAACCCUAUCCCGGCUCGAACGGUGCAUGAAUGUCAGAGAGAUUUGACAGUCUUUCGGGACAUGUAUCGAGGUGCUGCAUGGUUGUCGUCAGCUCGUGCCGUGAGGUGUCGGGUUAAGUGCCAUAACGAGCGCAACCCUUGUUGACAGUUACCAUCAGGUAAAGGUGGGGACUCUGUCGAGACUGCCACCGUAAGGUGUGAGGAAGGGGGGGAUGACGUCAAAUCAGCACGGCCCUUAUGUCCGGGGCGACACACGUGUUACAAUGGGAGGUACAGAGGGCAGCUAUCCAGUGACGGAGUGCAAAUCUCAAAAACCUUUCUCAGUUCGGAUUGGAGUCUGCAACUCGCCUCCAUGAAGUUGGAUUCGCUAGUAAUCGCGCAUCAGCCAUGGCGCGGUGAAUACGUUCCCGGGCCUUGUACACACCGCCCGUCAAGCCAUGGAAGCUUGGGGUGCUUAAGUUCGUACCGCAAGGAGCCUUUUUA